UUGCACAUUCUUUUAUUAGCAUUACUUAGUAAAAUAGCAAGUUCUGAAAUUAAUAUGUCAAAACAGUAACUUUCCUAUAUAUAAAAAAAUUCUGUCUGAAAAACAUGAUAGAAGAUCCAACUUAUGUGGAACCAUGAAAAAUACUAUGGUGAUAUGCAAUACCUGUAUAAAGAAAAUAAUGAUUCUUAAGGUCGUAUUUUCCCUGAAUCAACCUAUAAGUUCACUAUGAACCUAAUGAAAAUAUCAAAAUAACUUUUGAUAUUAACAAAAUGAUGCUAAAGUUCACUUUUAAAAAAUGCAAUACCCAGAGAAUUUCUGAAAAAAAUAAUGCUAAUUCUGGUAUGGGUGGAAUAGAG
rnacentral:lncRNA from 1 species